rnacentral:rRNA from 1 species
ACCGUGUUCAAGUCUCCUGGAAUGGAGCAUCAUAGAGGGUGAGAAUCCCGUCUUUGACAUGGACUGCCUGUACGCUGUGGUGCGCUCUCAAAGAGUCGAGUUGUUUGGGAAUGCAGCUCAAAAUGGGUGGUAAAUGCCAUCUAAAGCUAAAUAUUGGCGAGAGACCGAUAGCGAACAAGUACCGUGAGGGAAAGAUGAAAAGAACUUUGGAAAGAGAGUUAAACAGUACGUGAAAUUGCUGAAAGGGAAACGCUUGAAGUCAGUCGUGUCGGCCAGAAAUCAGCCUUGCUUUUGCCUGGUGUACUUUCUGGUUCGGUGGGUCAGCAUCAAUUUUGGCCAUCGGACAAAGUCUUUGGGAAUGUGGCAUCUUUGGAUGUGUUAUAGCCCAUUGUCGCAUACGAUGGUUGGGAUUGAGGAAUUCAGCAUGCCUCGCAAGGGGCCGGGUAUUUUUACCACGUUCGUGCUUAGGAUGCUGGCAUAAUGGCUUUAAUCGACCCGUCUUGAAACACGGACCAAGGAGUCUAACAUGCCUGCGAGUGUUUGGGUGGAAAACCCAUGCGCGCAAUGAAAGUGAAAGUUGAGAUCCCUGUUAAAGGGGAGCAUUGACGCCCGGACCAGACCUUUUGUGACGGAUCCGCGGUAGAGCAUGUAUGUUGGGACCCGAAAGAUGGUGAACUAUGCCUGAAUAGGGUGAAGCCAGAGGAAACU